GGAGAGCUGAGGCUAGGGUUCAACUCCGUGUUUUGACUUCCGCUGUAGUACUAGCCUUUAUUUGUCUUUCGUUUCCUUGACUUAAGACUUUUAUGUUAUGACUCUAAAUGAUAUCUUUUGAUGAGCUUAGACUCUUGACUCUCAAGUAUUUCGACUAAUGAAUGUUGGUUAUCCGAAGCAUGAAACUAAACUUGUGAUCCUGAAGUUGUAAUGUUUGUCGAUGGAUUAGUAUCGUUUGGAUAUCUGUCUUUCUUCAUCCAAAGGGGCGAAGCCCGAUUUAUCAUCCC
rnacentral:lncRNA from 1 species